CCUACGGGAGGCAGCAGUGGGGAAUUUUCCGCAAUGGGCGAAAGCCUGACGGAGCAACGCCGCGUGAGGGAUGAAGGCCUCUGGGCUGUAAACCUCUUUUAUCAAGGAAGAAGAUCUGACGGUACUUGAUGAAUAAGCCACGGCUAAUUCCGUGCCAGCAGCCGCGGUAAUACGGGAGUGGCAAGCGUUAUCCGGAAUUAUUGGGCGUAAAGCGUCCGCAGGCGGUCUUUUAAGUCUGUCGUCAAAGCGUGGAGCUUAACUCCAUUACUGCGAUGGAAACUGGGAGACUAGAGUGUGGUAGGGGCAGAGGGAAUUCCCGGUGUAGCGGUGAAAUGCGUAGAUAUCGGGAAGAACACCAGUGGCGAAGGCGCUCUGCUGGGCCAUAACUGACGCUCAUGGACGAAAGCCAGGGGAGCGAAAGGGAUUAGAUACCCCUGUAGUCCUGGCCGUAAACGAUGAACACUAGGUGUCGGGGGAAUCGACCCCCUCGGUGUCGUAGCCAACGCGUUAAGUGUUCCGCCUGGGGAGUACGCACGCAAGUGUGAAACUCAAAGGAAUUGACGG
rnacentral:rRNA from 1 species